CUCUGCGCAAGGGGCAGAACACGUUUUUCCACAGCUGCCGAGAAAGAGAGUGAGUCGCGGCAGCAUAACAAAAAGCCACUUCAAAAACACACCAGAAGAAGUCACAGAGCUGAAACAAUCACAGGCGUCUCGCCCACCACUUGAAUUCUCAUUGGAUGCGGUGAGUCUGAAUCAGAGAGAGAACCCCAAAGGCAGAAGAUGAAAGAUAAAGCCAGGCUGGGCUGUGCCCUCAGAUGUAGGACUCUCAGCUGCUUCUCCAGCACCAAGUCUGCCCGCACGCCACCAUGCUCCCCACCACGAUGAUAAUGGACGAGACCUCCGAAACUGUACGCAAGUUGC